rnacentral:tRNA from 1 species
UUAACUAAAGCUAAAUUAGAAGCGUUUUACUGUUAAUAAAAAAAUUGAUUAAAUCUAGUUAAA